rnacentral:rRNA from 1 species
AGCGAACGCUGGCGGCAGGCCUAACACAUGCAAGUCGAACGGACCCUUCGGGGUUAGUGGCGGACGGGUGAGUAACACGUGGGAACGUGCCUUUAGGUUCGGAAUAGCUCCUGGAAACGGGUGGUAAUGCCGAAUGUGCCCUUCGGGGGAAAGAUUUAUCGCCUUUAGAGCGGCCCGCGUCUGAUUAGCUUGUUGGUGGGGUAAUGGCCCACCAAGGCUACGAUCAGUAGCUGGUCUGAGAGGAUGACCAGCCACAUUGGGACUGAGACACGGCCCAAACUCCUACGGGAGGCAGCAGUGGGGAAUCUUGCGCAAUGGGCGAAAGCCUGACGCAGCCAUGCCGCGUGUAUGAUGAAGGUCUUAGGAUUGUAAAAUACUUUCACCGGUGAAGAUAAUGACUGUAGCCGGAGAAGAAGCCCCGGCUAACUUCGUGCCAGCAGCCGCGGUAAUACGAAGGGGGCUAGCGUUGCUCGGAAUUACUGGGCGUGAAGGGAGCGUAGGCGGACAUUU